ACAAACUUGGUCAUUUAGAGGAAGUAAAAGUCGUAACAAGGUUUCCGUAGGUGAACCUGCGGAAGGAUCAUUAACGAACCGUCAAACGUGGUUGUUGCUGGCCUUCAAACGGAGGCAUGUGCACGCUUCGUUUACAACAUCCACUUCACACCUGUGCACCCUCUGUAGCUCUACGGGUCCGGGGAACCCUGUUCUCCUUCUGUAGCCCUACUUUUUUUACACACACACUGUAACAAUGUCUUGUGGAAUGCAAUUCUGCGUUUAACGCGAUACAAUACAACUUUCAGCAACGGAUCUCUUGGCUCUCGCAUCGAUGAAGAACGCAGC
rnacentral:misc_RNA from 1 species